GACGAACGCUGGCGGCGUGCUUAACACAUGCAAGUCGUACGGUAAGGCCCUUUCGGGGGUCCACGAGUGGCGAACGGGUGAGUAACACGUGAGUAACCUGCCCACAACUUUGGGAUAACGCUAGGAAACUGGUGCUAAUACUGGAUAUGUGCCCCUGCUGCAUGGUGGGGGUUGGAAAGCUCCGGCGGUUGUGGAUGGACUCGCGGCCUAUCAGCUUGUUGGUGGGGUAGUGGCCUACCAAGGCGGCGACGGGUAGCCGGCCUGAGAGGGUGACCGGCCACAUUGGGACUGAGAUACGGCCCAGACUCCUACGGGAGGCAGCAGUGGGGAAUAUUGCACAAUGGGCGCAAGCCUGAUGCAGCAACGCCGCGGGCGGGAUGACGGCCUUCGGGUUGUAAACCGCUUUCAGCAGGGACGAAGCUUUUUGUGACGGUACCUGCAGAAGAAGCACCGGCUAACUACGUG
rnacentral:rRNA from 1 species